CAUGAACAGAUAGUUUUUUUUGUUGUUUUGUUUUUUGGGGGUAGCUUUUUUUCAUUUGCAGACUAGAAAAUGCUUUAAAAAGCAAGGAAAAUAUCAUUACCUUGGUUGCACAGAAAAAACGGAGACUGUUCGCCUCGAGACUCCCAUGCAUGGCCAGCACUGGAGUACAACCUCAUGCAGGCCUCAGUGGCAGUGAGGUGGCACUCAGCUGCCUGCUAACCAAACAAACACUUGCCUGCGACUUUUGCGUCUCUGCACCUUCCACGAAAAUCUAUACUGUUCAUGAUCCCACGUUAUCAACGUGACUAACUCCCCUUGUUCCUGCUGAUUUCAGCAGAACCUAAGGACCCUUCAUGACAUGCCCAGCAUGCUGCACCAGCAGGGCUGCUUUUAAAGACGAGAAAACAAGGAUUCUGAGAGUACAGAAUAAAGUACCUUUUCUUCCAUUUUAAACAAGAAAGAACUGAAUCAAGCUAUGAUUUUAGAGAAUAAAAACAAUGUUCUUCAGUUACACGCAAGAAUAACACAGGUAAAUUGCACAUCUUUGAGAACUAAGGAUUAUUCUGGACAGAGAAGAUGUGAGCAGAAGAAUCCUCACUGGAGAAAACUCAGCAUCAUUACCUGGAGCUACAUUUAACAGAAACACUACCUCUCCAUGUGGUUGGUAGUAUUGCCUGGCUUUCUUUAGUGGUUGCUUUGAUGUUAGUAAAUGUGCACUGUAUUAGAGAAUUCGGAAUAAAAUGGUUGCUUCGCUCCUUGAUGAGCUAUUAUUCAUAAACAAAUGGAGAGGUCACCGUGAGGACAUGAUGGGCGUAGCUGAAGUUAAGCACAGCAAAACCAGAGUUCUGGUUUCUAAUUUGGGCAACACAGCAAUUACUUCUCUCUGACCAACCUGGAAACCAAACAGAAGAGUUCACCUCAUCCUUUUAUUGCCCACACAGCUUAGUCAUGCUUUUUGUUUAUCAUAUUAUCACCACAUAAUUGCUUACAAAUCUUCAAAAUUAGCCUUUGAUACUUUGACAGACUUCAAUAUGGAAAUGGUAACAAAAAAGUUUUAAAUUUGCUGUCUUCAUCCAAACCAAACAAAACGUAACCUCACUUUAGAGCCUUAGUUUUUUCUUAAGUUAAUACAAAAUUCCUUUUCAAAUCAUUGUAUUUCCCAGGCAGACUGCUAUUACUCAGUUGACUGCUGUAUCUUUUGACACACGAUGAGCAGGGACGAGCCAGGAGGCAGUUGCCCUAACACCAAAAACCUGAUUUAGGCACUGGUGAGACUGCAGGCUGCAGACUGGCGUGAUGCUAAAUAAACUAUCCCCUGUAGAAUUCAUUUAUUCCAGAGCCCUGAAAAAUCAGUUUGCUAAGGGAAAGUACGAGUCUGAAAGCUAGAGGCAAGUUUGGAGUAGAAACUUGUUUUCUAGCACUCUUACUAACUGUCCACUUCAGGUUUAGGGUCUUGCUACAAGCAUCAUCCUGUCAGACAGAAAGCAGCAGGCUGACCUGAAGCACCACAUCAGCACAACGGGGACAAAUACAACCUUCAGCCUGCAGUGAGCAUUUUGCUGGGGCACACCUGAACCAGGCCAAUGCUUCGCUUUGAGUCUAGCAGUGGCAUAUCCUAUCCAAAACUGAGAUAAGUGAUAACGGGAGGCAGCAUGGUGGUUGUCAGCCCCCUGUACCUCCUGCACACUCCCAGCAGUCAUCGAGAAUCAAAACUCCUGGAGUUCUACAAAAAUCCAAGUCACCAUGCACAGGAACAAUAUUUAUUGCUUUUCUAUUUCUGAUCUUAUUUUCUGCCAUUGUAUGACUUGCCUCCAGUCUAAUAAUACCACUGCUAAAAUCCCUUUGGCCCUGGAGUUCAGAAACUGUAUGUGAAUAGAUAUUGUCCAAAGAUCUUUGUAUAAAAUGAAAUAAAUAAAUAAAUAAACCCCACACCUCUCCGCAGCCUGACUUGCUGGUAAAAACAGUUAACUAUUUUACCAUCUGACCAACUGUUGGUAUCCUGCUGAUGUGCAUAUUUGAUUUUCCUGGCAUUAAGUGAAUUUAAACGUUCUGGGCACAGACUCAACGUUCUGGUAAUUUUCUUAUACUUUGGCUUUCCCAAAGACAAAGGCAAAAGAACAGAGAAAGCCUUCCAUGUGCAGAUUCACUCCAGAUUUGAUUCAAUACAUACAGUUGGAAUUAAUGUGCCUAAAAAACAGGAAACCUUUUCAUAUUGGUAUUGCAAUACACACUUUUCUUUUUUGUAAUGUUAUUUUCAUGCUGCAUCAGACAAAAAUGUACUGAAAUUCUGAAAUACUGAAAAUCCUGUCAGAGAAUUUGAUGAAACAAAACAAACAAACAAACCUGAGAAAUAAAAU